rnacentral:lncRNA from 1 species
ACACAUCCACAAGAACUAGUUCAACAGUUUAUACAUCUAAAACAGUCCAGGAUUUUUACAGAGUUUUAGUGAUAACAAACAAACAAUUAGAUGACAGAAUACUAUAUAAACGUGACAGAACUAUCAGAACUUCAAGUACACAGUAAGUAACGAUAUCCAUCUCAUUGAAUACGAAUUAGGCAUGUGCCUAAUAAAAGUUUCUUUGGUUUGGUAGUCAACCUUGUUGACUUGGUUUGG